GCAGAGAAAGAAUUGAGGAAAGGGAAGGAGGAUUCUGAAAAGAAAGCUGCUGGUUAACCACACAGUCACACAAAGCUAGUCUUCACUGGUGAGAAUUAUCAGCUGCCAUGGAUGUACUAGACCUGAUUGUGAUCAGAGGUAUCAAAAGUAUUCAGAUAUCAGACUCCAUUGGAAUCUGGUACAUUUGCCAUCCAUCACUUACUUCUCUGGGCAAUGUGUUUUCCGCUCGCCCCACUGGAAUCAACUUAAAUGCCAUCUCAGUCAGAGGAACCAUCUGUCUGCAGAGGAAGGGAGUUUUCAUAGUGUACGGUACAACACAAAAUUCAUAGACCCAAGGGGUAAACUGAUGCCCAUAGUAAGGGUUUCAGUAUGGCCGUAUGUAGGGAGGAGGCCAGUGUCUGCCGUCGAGUGAUGACACCUAUAGGUCAGUGCUCACCUCGCGGACAGUUACUGUGGCCCGGGACCAUGAGGAGAUGGUACCUCUUGGUCGUGGCCAGGUGGUUAUUUAGGACCAGGUCCAUUGGCUUCAUGGUGGUGCUUUGGGUUGAAACUGAUUCAUUAAUUGUUUUUUUGAUAAUGAUUUCAGUCCAAACUAAAUGUAUAUUCAUCUGAGUGAAUUGAUGAAUAUAAUUGUAGUAAUUAAUUUGUAUCUUCAUCUGUAUUAUUGGUAAAUUAUUGGAUUGUUAAGCAAAUACCAACUGGGAAAUUGAUGUGUUUAUUUUACUUUUAAGAUUAUUGUAUUUUUUAAUGAGUUACCAAACUCUUGUGGUUAAGUAAUUGCUCCAAUUUGCCAGAGUUUUUCCUAUAGUAUAGUAUAUUGUAUGGUUCUAGUGUGAUUAUCAAUGCUGUUAUAUAUGUUAUCAAUGGUUUUUUGAAGAUAUUUUUGAGCUACAACCAUGUACAUGUAAUUAGAUAUUUAGAACAAGUUACUUAUGGCUGUUGUAAAAUGUUGUGCGGUAUGACCUUUGUACACUGUAAGUCUAUUUUUAGGUAGAUUUGCACUUAUUUAGCUUAGACAAUUUUAAUUCAGUUAUUGCCAAAUGUUAGAAUAUUUGUCUUAAGGAGAGAGGAAUGUGAAAGUAUCAUUGUGUAUUUAUGCUUCAUAUUACACCAUGUUUCAGCCUUCAUAUUUCUUUGUACUUAAGUGUUUUGAGUGGCUUUCAUGGCAAUAUGCAUGUCCAGAUUGCCGCGAUCUGCCUAUUGAACUCUGUGAUUUUCUAUAGUCAGACAGCCUUACUCAAAGUUUUUGCUCGACUGGUAUGACUCGCCUCGCUCUUCCUCUCUAUGGAUUUAAUGUUCGAUAGGGUAAUUAUCAUGUAGAGUCAGUUGUUAAACAACCUAGGAUAAAUUAGUCGAGUUAAGUUAUUAUCAAGUUUAGGCAUAGAUUAGUGUUGUCGUGACUAUAGGGUUUUAAUACCGAGUUUAGUUUGUUGUCUGUUCCAUAGGAGUAUGCAUAGUAGCCAUUCGUUAUACAGUUAGGUGUGUGAAAGAUGUACGUGUGUGGGUGAAAUACAUGUAUGUGUGUUGAAUUUACUGUGACUUCUUAUUGAAAAGUACUUUACACUUGUUGAAUCAAUAAAUUAUACUUUGAUCUUUA